UACGUAGGGGGCAAGCGUUGUCCGGAUUUAUUGGGCGUAAAGAGCGUGUAGGCGGCCAGGUAGGUCUGCUGUGAAAACUCGAGGCUUAACCUCGAGAUGUCGGCGGAAACCAUCUGGCUAGAGUCCGGAAGAGGAGAGUGGAAUUCCUGGUGUAGCGGUGAAAUGCGCAGAUAUCGGGAGGAACACCUAUGGCGAAGGCAGCUCGCUGGGACGUUACUGACGCUGAGACGCGAAAGCGUGGGGAGCAAACAGG
rnacentral:rRNA from 1 species